ACAACUGUUUACCCUAUAACUUCCCCUGGACGCGCACAAAUACUCGAUAGUCAAAAACCUAAAUCUUUAGCUCCUCUGUCUAUAUCAGAUCUGCUCAGCUCAAAUCCUUCAAUGGGUUCCAAAAGGCCAGAUUUUGGUGAUGGUGCUAGCCCUGGGAAGAUUUUCAUCGGAGGUCUCGCAAAAGACACUACUUUAGAUACGUUUGUGAAGUAUUUUGGCAAGUAUGGAGAAAUUACGGACUCCGUUAUCAUGAAAGAUAGGCACACAGGUCGGCCACGGGGUUUUGGUUUCAUAACCUAUGCCGAUCCCUGUGUUGUUGACACUGUUAUCGCUGAAACCCACAUCAUCAAUGGAAAACAAGUUGAGAUUAAAAGAACCAUUCCAAAAGGAGCUGCUGAAUCCAAGGAUUUCAAGACAAAAAAGAUUUUUGUUGGUGGGAUUCCCACUUCUAUGACUGAAGAUGAGUUCAAGAAUUUCUUCUCCAAGUAUGGGAAGGUUGUCGAGCAUGAGAUCAUUCGAGAUCAUGUGACAAAGAAGUCCCGAGGCUUUGGAUUUGUAGUGUUUGAUAAUGAACAAGUAGUUGAUAAUAUGCUGGCUGAUGGAAAUAUGAUAGAUAUGAUGGGUACUCAGGUUGAGAUCAAGAAGGCUGAACCAAAGAAACCUUCAAACCCAACACCUGCUCCUGCAUAUGGUAGUGAUUCUAGGGGACGUGCAUUUGGAGAUAGUUUUGGAGGAUUUGGCAAUUCCUAUAGCAGUUUUGGAAGUGGCAGUUUUGAUCCUCCUCCUUAUAGGUCAAUGGGAUCAAGUCUUGGUGGUAGGUUUGGCGACUAUGGAGGAUAUGGUGGCGCAAGUGAAUUUGGUGGUCGAUAUGGUGAUUUUACCAGUAGUGAGUAUGGGUAUCGAGGGGAUGGCCCUCUUGGCUAUUCCAGUCGGUUUGGUUCUUAUGGUGGUGGCUAUGGUGGAGGUUAUGGUGGUGGGUUAGGUGCUUAUGGCCGUGGCGGUGGCUACGGGAGUUACAGUGGUGCUGGUGCCGGGCCUGGUGCUGGUUAUGAUUCCGGCCCUGGUGCUGGUUAUGGUGGAGGAUUGUAUGGAAGUAGGGCAGGUUAUAGUGGCAGUAGUCGUUAUCAUCCCUAUGGCAGGUAGAUGUUACGUCUAAGCUUAUCCUGUAGGAGCUUGCUCGUGUCCCUUGGAUAAGGCUUCUUUAUGGCUCAGAUUUGACUAAGAUAAUCAAGAGUACUAGCAAGAGAAACUCAGUCUAGAAGAUGAAGGCCUAGUUUGCGACCUGUUAUAUAAUGCCAAGUUUUAUUCUUCUUAUUUAAUGUGGGUUAGAGAACGAGCUUAUGCUGUCAUUUUGAGUUAGACAUCUUAUCCUGUAAGACUUGUUUAAGCUUAGACUGGUUUUGCAUUUUCUUAAGGUUCUUCCCUAUAGGUAUUCUGUUUCACAGGUUUUUGAUGUUAAUCUAGAAAUUAAAGCAUGCAUUAUAAGGCAAUCCAUAUGAUUGAUCAUUAUCGUAACAGGCUAUGGCCAACUAGCUAGUUUUCUCAUCUGGAUGCUUUAAAAUGCAACUUAAUUCUUUCAGUAUGAAGAUAUAACUAGUCUUGGAAGUGUGGUGUUUAGAUUCCUGCACCCAGAUCGAUUUUGGUGAUAUAAUGAAUUUCUAUUUCAACUGUGGCUAGCUAGCUUGAGAAAUACUCAAUUCUCCAGGAAAGCUUACUUUCUUGAAUGAGUUGGAACGAUCUUGUAGGGAGCAUCUUGUACUCUGCAGAUUUUGUUUUCUAAUUUAGCGAUUUUCUGGGGCAUAAACGUUAAAUCGACAUGUAAAUGUGACGCUGAUAAGGUUGAGACAAAGGCACUAAAUAUAUGCUUCACGGCCAAUACUUCAAUUUAUAUUUUCGAAGUACAAUGAAGAUUCUGUUCUCGUAACGUGGAGCAACAAUGGCACUGAACUGAUGCUUCGUAGGCGUUGGCAUGAGAGUUUACCAUCUCCAUUGCUGCCUGGCAGAUGGGCUUUUGUCGGUUUCACCAUCAGUGAUAAAAAUAAAGCUGUAAACAAGGGGAAAAAAAUUUACGGACAAGUAAAAUAAGUACAGUCAAAAUAACUACUUAUUUUUUAUUUGGCGCUUUAAUUUUUCAGAUUUAGAUGGUCUUUUGCUUUAACGUAUUCAAUUUUGGGAUUAUUAUUAGUAUCCAAUAAUCUUUUUUUAUCGA